AUCGUGGGUUCAUACAUGAUUUUGUCUGCGGUGUCAUGUAUAAGGGAGUGGAUUGUCUCAGGUGAUAAUUUCACUGCAUAGAAUAAAGUGUGGAUCUCAACCUUCCAAUUUUACCUUUUUAAUUGGGAUAAUGUUAACAUGUUAAGGCACAUGUUAAGGAAGCAAAUAAGGAAAUUACUUUUUGCAAAUUGUGCAUUUUUACUUUUGCCCUUGACACAAGUUAACAUGACCCUUUUAAUUAAACCUCUAGCAAACAAAAAAGAAAUGAACGGAGAGGAUUACACUAAAUGAACUUUACACGAAAGACAAUUUCCUUCUCAUAUAUAAAAAGGGUACGCAAAUGUCAUAUUCUAAUAUUUCAUAAAUCGUUAUUUAGUUAUCAACAGUAUAUGGCACGAUAGCCAUAUGCACGACAUGUUCGCCUCUGCCCUGACCCUUUUUUAUAUUAUUGAUGAUUUAUAUCAGUUUACUUUAGAUAAGGAAUUAACUAUAUGAUCUUUAUUCUCUUUUUUAGUAAAAAAUGAUUUAAAGUCCGUUUGAAAUGACUUAUUUUUGAGCUUAUGAAAAACUACUUAUACAAAUAAAUGAGC
rnacentral:lncRNA from 1 species